rnacentral:lncRNA from 1 species
GCAAAAGCUAAUUUUAUUUUUCUCUGGUAUUUCAAAGUGGUAGAUAAUCACCUUUGUAAGUAUUCAGAUUUGUUUGGGAAGAAACUACCAACAAGAUUUACUUCCAAGCUUUUUCUUUCUAACUCAAUACCAAGGUAAGUCUCAACAAAAAGUUCAUAAAUACUCAGAGUAUUUAUGGGAAGUUACAUAUAUUAGAGUUUUCAACCAACUAGACUAGCUUAUCAGAGUGCUUAGUUAACAUUUUGAAUUUUUCAAGAGGCUCAAGCACACAUGCAUUUUGAGGCCUAGAAACCUAUCUUAAAGGCAGAAAUUUCACUUGGCUACUGAGAGGUAAAAAUUGGAAGAAAAACCCUAGCUAAUACUAGUGCACACACCUUGCAGGUCUUGUAUUUACAAGUCUUCUAUGUUAAUCUUAGGAGAGACUUAAAUGUGUUAUAACACUCGCUGUGGCCUCUUAGACUAUUCCCAGUGAAGUGCUAAGCUUUGGGAAGCAGUGUCCAGCAAUGCUUCCAGUUUUCCAGGGAGACAGUCUGCGGCUGUGGACAGCAGAUCUGAGCAAGACUGCAGCAGGGCCCUUCCGAACACUUCCUUAGAUGCCAUUAUGCUGCUUUUCUGGGAUAGUGGAAUAGGCGAAACACAAUGCUCUGUGUUUUGUAUUUCAUGAUUUGUUUAGGCCGGGA